rnacentral:rRNA from 1 species
GGUUACCUUGUUACGACUUGCUGAGCCAUGAUCAAACCCGAGGGUUUGAUCCUGGCUCAGGACGAACGCUGGCGGCGUGCUUAACACAUGCAAGUCGAACGGAAAGGCCCUGCUUUUGUGGGGUGCUCGAGUGGCGAACGGGUGAGUAACACGUGAGUAACCUGCCCUUGACUUUGGGAUAACUUCAGGAAACUGGGGCUAAUACCGGAUAGGAGCUCCUGCUGCAUGGUGGGGGUUGGAAAGUUUCGGCGGUUGGGGAUGGACUCGCGGCUUAUCAGCUUGUUGGUGGGGUAGUGGCUUACCAAGGCUUUGGCGGGUAGCCGGCCUGAGAGGGUGACCGGCCACAUUGGGACUGAGAUACGGCCCAGACUCCUACGGGAGGCAGCAGUGGGGAAUAUUGCACAAUGGGCGGAAGCCUGAUGCAGCAACGCCGCGUGCGGGAUGACGGCCUUCGGGUUGUAAACCGCUUUCGCCUGUGACGAAGCGUGAGUGACGGUAAUGGGUAAAGAAGCACCGGCUAACUACGUGCCAGCAGCCGCGGUGAUACGUAGGGUGCGAGCGUUGUCCGGAUUUAUUGGGCGUAAAGGGCUCGUAGGUGGUUGAUCGCGUCGGAAGUGUAAUCUUGGGGCUUAACCCUGAG